rnacentral:rRNA from 1 species
AUUGAACGCUGGCGGCAUGCUUUACACAUGCAAGUCGAACGGUAACAGGCCGCAAGGUGCUGACGAGUGGCGAACGGGUGAGUAAUGCAUCUGAACGUGCCCAGUCGUGGGGGAUAACUACUCGAAAGAGUAGCUAAUACCGCAUACGAUCUAUGGAUGAAAGCGGGGGACCGUAAGGCCUCGCGCGAUUGGAGCGGCCGAUGUCAGAUUAGGUAGUUGGUGGGGUAAAGGCUCACCAAGCCAACGAUCUGUAGCUGGUCUGAGAGGACAACCAGCCACACUGGGACUGAGACACGGCCCAGACUCCUACGGGAGGCAGCAGUGGGGAAUUUUGGACAAUGGGCGCAAGCCUGAUCCAGCAAUGCCGCGUGCAGGAAGAAGGCCUUCGGGUUGUAAACUGCUUUUGUACGGAACGAAACGGCUCUGGUUAAUACCCGGGGCUAAUGACGGUACCGUAAGAAUAAGCACCGGCUAACUACGUG